rnacentral:rRNA from 1 species
GACGAACGCUGGCGGCGUGCUUAACACAUGCAAGUCGAACGGUGACCCACCUUCGGGUGGCGAUCAGUGGCGAACGGGUGAGUAACACGUGGGCAACCUGCCCCUGACUCUGGGAUGACUCCUCGAAAGAGGUGCUAAUACCGGAUACCACCUCCCUCGGCAUCGGGGGAGGUUGAAAGUUCUUCGGUCAGGGAUGGGCCCGCGGCCUAUCAGCUAGUUGGUGAGGUAACGGCCCACCAAGGCGACGACGGGUAGCCGGCCUGAGAGGGCGACCGGCCACACUGGGACUGAGACACGGCCCAGACUCCUACGGGAGGCAGCAGUGGGGAAUAUUGCACAAUGGGCGCAAGCCUGAUGCAGCGACGCCGCGUGAGGGAUGGAGGCCUUCGGGUUGUGAACCUCUUUCGCCAGUGAAGCAGGCCUGCCUCGUUUGUGGGUGGGUUGACGGUAGCUGGAUAAGAAGCGCCGGCUAACUACGUGCCAG